AAUGCAAAAACAACAGGAAAUUUGUUUUUGUUAAAAUGUACGGUAAAUGUCAAAAUCAAGGCGAAUUAAAAUAUUACUAUGUUAUUUACAAUAACAAAUGUAAACAUAAUGUAUUGUGUAUAUUAAAAAAUAUAAACAGCAAAGUAAAUUAAUAAAGUAGACUCAGUAGAACAGCUGACUAUUUUUUUACUUUGGUCUGAACUGUCAAUUCACUUGUGGUUGUUGUGGCGAAAAAUACAACAAGCCCAAAAGCAAAAACAACAACAGGCAACUUUGACAGCUCAGACCUUAAACCAAAAACAAAAUUGCUUGUGGUUUUUGUAAAUGUUGUAUUUGUUGUAGUACUGUCGCUACUUUAUUAAUUUACUUUGAUAAACAGCAAAAAACCUCAACAGAUAAAUUUAAAGUAAGCUGUUCAACUUUUGGAGGGUCUUCUGGUUUGUAUCAGCCGAACGCAUGGCCACUAUAGUGAAACCAAAAAACACUACCAACCUAAAUCUUAAUCCUCCGGAACCUUACAAAGUAGGUGAUCAAGCCCCAAUCACUACAACAAAAUCUUAAAGUAAGCUGUUCGACAUUUGAAAGAACUUUCGGUCGGGAAAGGACAAACUUCUCAACAUCAGUAUUCAAGUGAAGCCAUAUAACAUCACCAGCCUAAAACCGGAACCUUAUAAAAUAAAUGGUCAAUUCCCAAUCACUACAACAAAAUCUUAACAGAUAGUUAUAAAGUAAGCUGUUCGACAUUUGGAAGGACUUUUGGUCGGGAAAAGUCAAACUUCUCAACAUCAGUAUUCAAAACAUCACCAGUCUAAACCUUAAUCCUCUGGAACCUUACAAAAUAAGUGGUCAAGCCCCAGUCACUACAAUUAUAAAGUUAAGAUUUACCUGUUUUACAAGUUUUUAAUUUUAGAUUUAAUAAUACAGUGGUUUCCCGGUUUAACGGAUUAUAUAAUGUCAGUUCCAUUCGUAAUAUCGAAAAAAUCAUUAAACCGAAUUAAAA